CCGCCCGGGAACCAAACCGGAGGGAAGGUGGGGGAUGACGUCAAGUCAUCAUAGCCCCUUACGGCCAGGGCUACACACGUACUACAAUGGGAAGGACAGAGGGCCGCGAUCCCGCGAGGGGGAGCCAAUCCCAGAAACCUUCUCUCAGUCCGGAUCGGAGUCUGCAACUCGACUCCGUGAAGUCGGAAUCGCUAGUAAUCGCAGAUCAGCAUUGCUGCGGUGAAUACGUUCCCGGGCCUUGUACACACCGCCCGUCACACCAUGGGAGUGGGUUGCUCCAGAAGUCGCUAGUCUAACCAGACGCAAGUUUGGGGGACGGUGACCACGGAGUGAUUCAUGACUGGGGUGAAGUCGUAACAAGGUA
rnacentral:rRNA from 1 species